GUAAGACUUGCCAUCCCUCACCAAGCCGAGCUCUUCAAGCUCUUCCUCUCUCUCUAUCUAUGUCGAACCGUCACCGGUCGUCGGCCGAUCUCCCUCACUAGAGCUUCUCUAACCAAAUCCUUGCGCCAUAGGACUUGCCUCGGUGAGUUGAAUCCAUUUUUCCCCUUUUCCCUCUUUCUCCACCUCUAAAUUAAACCUCACCGGAGCUCUCUCUCUCUCUCUCCUCCCGGUUCACGGCCUUGCACUCGCCGUUCCGGCCAUAUCCCUCACUCCCUCGACCUACCACCGCCGUAUAUAGGUGCGCCACAUCCGGGAACACCUCUCGCUGCCGGCGUCGCUGUCCCCCGUACACUGGAGCGCCGCCGCCUCAACCGCCUCCUCCUCUCCCUUCUAUCGGCUGGAGGAAGAAGACGGAAAGAAGGAAAGAGAAAGAGAAAAGAAGAAGAGAAAAAGAAAAAGAAAGAGAUUCCUGACAGGUGGGCCCCCGCGUAGUAACUUUUUAUAAUUUCUCCAUUUAAUUCAAAAUCCAAUUUUUAGAAGCCCAUAUCUCCUAAACCGUAAAUCCGAUUCCAGUGAAACUUGGACCUAAAUUCAUCUAAAUUCAAAAUCUACAUUUUGAUACCAAAUUUUCUAUUUUAAGAUUUUAUUUGAAUUUCCUUAAUUUAUUCAAAUACCAUUUGAAUAAAUAUUUAAUUUAAUCUUAUAUUUGAAUUUCCUAUUUAAACUUAUAUUUACCUUUCAAAUAUUUCUUUUUAUUCUCGAAAUACCCCUUAGUCACUAAAUGUUGUCGAAACGAUAACUGCAUACGUCGAAAGACGUGGUUACUCAACUGUGUUGGAAAGCAGUAAAUUAUAACUCUAAGAAUUUUUUCCCGGCCCCCUUUACAUGGCCCUAGGGGUCUAUUUAUAACACUAUUACAGGCUCCCCUAUUAGGGUUUAGGUUUUUACAGGGGAAUUUACAUGGUUGCCCUUAUAAAAGGGACAUUUACAUGGGUACACAGUGUCAUUUGCAUGCACGGGCUCCUGAUGGGCCAACAGAUUGGGCCCGGCCUAUGCCGAAUGGGCCCGUCAGGCCGGAGCAGCCCAUGAGGUCGCUUGCAUGCCGAACCCGUCCUGACGAAGGCCUUGCGCCUUCGCCAUGCACCCUUCGCCGUAUGCCAUUCGCCCAAGAUGCUUUUGCUUCGCAUGGACCCGACGCGGCUUGUUAGCCUGCAGCAUCUUCGCCCAUAGCCUUCGCCAUAGGGCUUCGCCCCAUUGGCUCUGAUGUCUUUGGCUUGGAUCCUCGCUGGUCCUUGGGUUUCGGCAGGUCCAGCCGAAGGGCCUCAUGGCAUACCGCCAACAAGCCCCUCACGGGCGAGGGUGAGUAAGGAGCUUCGGUCGAGACCGUGCAAACUAUGUGGUAUGGUAUGAGGCGCCCCCUUUCGGCCGACGUUCCUACCGAAACCUCUUCUCCGAGCCCUUCAGGAAGAAGGUGGACACUUGGUGUUUUCAUGGUUUUGUUAGUAAACUUUGGCAUUCGCCCUUUCAGAAAGGGCGAAACUGCACUGCUUUGAUUUUUGGCCCGAAGUGCGACAGUAAGGGGCCCUUUGUGGGCCGGUAUGUCCCUCUUGGAUUUCGGUCUGUACAGUGCGGCCUAGGCCGAUGGGAAUUUACCGUUUCGUCUGUCCCUGGACACAUGUCGCGUCCUGAUUGGGCGGAAGUCGAAACAUCGUGGGACGGGGUUAUAUAACCUCGUCUCGGGUUACCGCUUUUCUCCCCUCACCUUUUACUUUCACCGCUGCUACGCGCUCGCACCCUUAGGGUUCGACACCUUCGCUUUUGUGCGCUCUUGAGCCUUUCGACCACUCCCUUCCUUUCGCCACGGACUCGAUGGCUCCUCGCAAGCCUACAAAGGCUGGAUCGACUGGCGAAGACCCUAGCAGCCUUGGCGAAGGGUGGUCGUGCUUCCUUGGCAAAUCACUUGUCAAGGAGGCCGCCUUGGGCGAGCUUGUCCUUUCUGGCGUUCUCGUGGAGGGCCAGGCGACCUGCGGGGGCGAAGCCAUCGUCCCUUCGCCCGGUGACAACCAGACUGUUGUCUUCGCCGCCUUCUUCGCUACCGGACUUCGCCUCCCUUGCAAUGACUUUCUGCUGUCCGUGUUGAAAAUGUAUGAGGUCAAGCUUUACCAGCUCAACCCAUCAGCGUUCCCGAAGUUAGCUGUUUUUGCAUGGAUGUGCCAAACGUGUGGGUUCGAUCCCACUGCCGAGCUUUUCGCCGUUCUGUUUAUGGCAUGCGCGACGACGAAGGACGUGAGCACAUCGGCCGGUCCAAAGAGGACGAUGUUUGGGUGCGUGAAUUUCAUACUCCGCCCUGAGCGCUCGGACGCCUAGCCGGUGCCUGCCUCGAUGGCGAAAUGGGAGCGAAAUUGGAUGCAAAAGUGGCUUUACAUCAAUAACCCAUAUUCCGCCGAAGAUAGCAGGGCGAACUGGCUUAGGUUCGAACGCGCUGCUGUUUCGAUCGCUGCUAAGCCGAACGUGUAGGUCGACGGUGUUCUUGAGUCUUGGCUUAUCCUCCUUCGCAAGGUCGCGCGGCGGCUAAGUACCCGUGACCUCUGCGAGGAGUUUUGCCUGCUUCGGAUUUCUCCCCUUGCUCGCGAAUCGGGGGUGUUGGUUAGUAAGGACGAAAAGGUGCUCGGACUUCCCCGCCUCGCUUUUCCUCCGGGAGUCCACCUUCGCACACAUGGAGACGCUGAAACCGAGGCGUCGAAGAUGGUUGGGGGCCUUACUUCAGCCGAGUUUGCCCGCCUGCUUUCGCGUCAGCUUGACGGCUGGGCGAACCGAGUUCACUUUGGCGAACUACCCGGUCGAUUGAUCCCCACCAAAGCUAUUGACGACGUCGGAACGUCGAGAAAGCGUAAACGGGCGGUCGCGAAGGGCGGGCAAGUGCGAUCUCGUCGCGCCACGAAGGACACAGCUGAAAGUGGUGAAGAGGAGGAGGAAGACGACGGGGAGGCCGAGUCUGAGGACGAUGGCUCCCGUGGCUAUACCCCUAGUCCGCCCCCGGUGAAAUCUGGGGCGGGCUCUCGCGUUUCACCCGUUCACCCGCAAGACGUUGCUAUGACGAACACUCUUCUGGCGAUCUCUAGCACUGCGGCGAAGCCGGUAUCAGUCGCUAGAGGGAAGAAGAAGGGGAAGGUCGUCUAGAUUGGUCGUGCCUUUUCGGACAGCGAGGGGUCCGACGGGACACCGACUUCGCCAGUUCUCCAGCGCGGUCCUCGUGGGGGGUGCGCAUCUCCUCCGCCUUCUAGCAACGCCGAAGCGGCGACAGGUGGGAGUGCUUCGGCGCCAGCAAUCGGGGCGAACAACCCUCACAACGAACGGGUUGAGGUGGUUCCUUCGCCAGCUCGCCGGCGGGAAGGAAAAGCUCCGACGGUCGAAGCGAUUGUGUCAGACGUGACACUUACUGCCCCGCACUUCGUUCCCGCCGAUUUCGCCACUCGGCCAGAGAUCACCCCUUUUGUGGAUGGGGUGUGCCAAGUUAUCGCGCCCACGGAAGGCCUUGGUCUCUUCACCGAGAUGAACGAGUUCGGCGAGAGCUAUGCCGCCGUGGUGAGCUUGUUUGUUCGGGGCCUUGCCGCGCAUCUGAGUGCGAAGAAGUCUGCCCUGGAAAGGCUGGAUGGUUACCGGCUUCGGUUGCGGAAGGCCAAGGACGACCUUCGCCACAAGGAGGACGAAAGGCGCGUCGUGGCGGACACCUUGUGGAGGGCGAAUGCGGAGAACAGGUCCCUCCGUGCCGAUCUGGAAGUGUCGAACAGGCGGGGCACCUAGCAUGAUCGCCAGCUUGCUGCGGCCGAAGAGAGGAUCAAGUCUCUUGAGACCCGCCUCGUUUCGUCCGAAGCCGCUGCUUCGACUUUAGGGCUGGCGACAGAAUCCGCCAAGGAGGCCUGUUACACGCUCAGGCUGGCCCUGAAUGACCUUGGUGCUCGCGCGGAGGACACCCUGGGAGAUGAUGGGACGGCUUUCGACUUUUCCGAGUGGACGCAAGAGUCGGCCGGCUCAGUUGUCGAAGUGGCCGGCGCUUAUGGGGAUUGUUGUGCUCGUGUUUCGGCGGGCUUCGUCCUUAGCCUGCUACAUACGCACGGUUGCGAGCAUAUCAGGGAUUUUCCCCGCUAUGUGACGGAAGAAUGGCCUUUGAACUCGCAAUGCUCUGGGGCGGCCUUAAAGGCGUUCCGAAAGGGUUUCUGGGAGGACGGUGGCCGGGAUUGCGCGAAGACCAGCCUUCGCGAGAAUCUUGAGAGGAUCGCGAAGGAGGAGGAAGCUGCUGCCGUCCAUGCCGGAGGAGACCCUGGGUCCACGGAGCUAGCAGGCGAAGACAAUAGAGGCCAAGACCACCCUAAGGUUUAUGGCCGGAAAUCAUGCAUUCGCCCCCCCCCCCCACUACUGGUUGGCGAAAAGAGAACGAGAAAUUCGUGGCGGCGAAAGGUUUGCCGAAGGUUAAGCGUCCUCUUCGGCCUAUUUACUGCGAGAUGUUAAUAAACGGCAACAGCUACCGAGUCAUAAAGGUUGCCAAGUGGAUGCGCGCACAUCCGGGUCGGACCAUAGAAGAUUAUGAUCGCCAUCGUGUUUCGUGCCUCGAGAACAGUACAAACUUUUGGCGAAACUUUAAGAGGUCGAUUCGCCAAGAGGCGAUCGCUUGCCGCCGUUAUGGCGUAAUUUGUGUUUCGCCCCCUCUCCCCUUAGGGUAGUAUACGACAUUACUAAUGAUGGCGAACCGUGUUCACCAAGUCGUUCCUUAGGGAGUGGGGAUUACUUCGGGGGCGAAGAUGUAAUUUAUUUGUGAGUUGGACUGUGAAGCCUUUGCUUUCUAUGCUUGUAGCAUGUUGUAUGGCUGUAACCUUUGAUUAUUUUUCCGAAAUAAAUAAAGAUGUGUUUUAUUUCCUUUUC